rnacentral:rRNA from 1 species
UACGUAGGUGGCAAGCGUUGUCCGGAUUUAUUGGGUUUAAAGGGUGCGUAGGCGGUCUUUUAAGUCAGUGCUGAAAUACUCCAGCUUAACUGGAGGGGUGGCAUUGAUACUGGAAGACUUGAGUGUAGUCGAGGUAGGCGGAAUUGACGGUGUAGCGGUGAAAUGCUUAGAUAUCGUCAAGAACACCGAUAGUGCAGACAGCUAACUAAGCUUUAACUGACGCUGAGGCACGAAAGUGUGGGGAUCAAACAGG